rnacentral:lncRNA from 1 species
UUUAAGACUUUAAAUUGUCUUUGGUUCUUUUCUAUGCGACAGCACCAGGGAAAGACUGCAAAGUCGCAGUGAGGCCGCGCGGGUCUCCACCCUGCGCAAUGAACAGCAGCCGCUGCAGAGAAACACACGCUCAGCCGUGAGCCAGUGGGUCACGCCAUUCGGAAACUUAAGCAAGAUAUCAAGGCGUUUUGUUCUUCUUCUCGGGCACUCUUAAGAGAUUAUCAGGAUGCGUUUCAGGACUGCGUUUCUGAAUAGUGACUGCUGUGCAGAGAACGCCACGGAGCAGCGAGACGCUGCGAGCGUGCCAGUCAAAGGUGAUGCACCUGGAGCGGGCCUUGCAGGACGUCAGCGCACGUCACCAGCUGGAGAGGCAAAGGAGGAAGGUCCUGCACAACAGCCUGCUGCUGGGCGCAGGUGUCGUGGGAGACCCACGAGGGACACGCAGAAGCCCCUCUCGGGAGGGUGCUGGGCAGGAAGGACAGCGGGGCAGCCUGGCCAGACGGCAGAGGGGCAGAGCCACGGCGGCUGUGACUGGUGUCCCCUUAACCCAGGCGGCGAUGGCAGCUGGAGGAGGGGUG